rnacentral:rRNA from 1 species
GACGAACGCUGGCGGCGUGCUUAACACAUGCAAGUCGAACGAAGUGGCGAACGGGUGAGUAACGCGUAAUCAACCUGCCCUUCGGAGGGGAACAACAGUUGGAACCGACUGCUAAUACCGCAUACUGAAGGAGGGGAUUGCGUCUGCUUAGCUAGUUGGAGGGGUAACGGCCCACCAAGGCGAUGAUCAGUAGCCGGGCUGGGGGGAUGAACGGCCACAACGGGACUGGGACACGGCCCAGACUCCCACGGGAGGCAGCCGUGGGGAAUCUUCCGCAAUUGAGGAAAGUCUGACGGAGCAACGCCGCGUGAGUGAUGACGGCCUUCGGGUUGUAAAGCUCUGUUAAUCGGGACGCGGUACCGGAAUAGAAAGCCACGGCUAACUACGUGCCAGCAGCCGCGGUAAUAC